UCGAGAAUCUUCCGCAAUGGACGAAAGUCUGACGGAGCGACGCCGCGUGAUGGAUGAAGUCCCUCUGGGACGUAAACAUCUUUUAUGAGGGAGAAAGUUUAUUGAUAGUACCUCACGAAUAAGGGGUUGCUAAACUCGUGCCAGCAGCAGCGGUAAUACGAGUGCCCCGAGCGUUAUCCGGAAUCAUUGGGCGUAAAGGGUGUGUAGGUGGCAUUGUUAGUCACACGUUAAACCCUGGGGCUUAACCCCAGAUCUGCGUGUGAUACGGCAAAGCUAGAGGAUGGCAGGGAUGUAUGGAACUCAUGGAGUAGGGGUGAAAUCCGUUGAUAUCAUGGGGAACACCGAAAGCGAAGGCAGUACAUUGGGCCACUCCUGACACUGAAACACGAAAGCGUGGGGAGCAAACGGGAUUAGAUACCCAGGUAGUCCCUGAGCGGGCUGGCAAGGCGCAU
rnacentral:rRNA from 1 species